rnacentral:lncRNA from 1 species
GGCAUUUGCCCUAAAUUCCUCAACACCUUAUUUCUGAAUUUUAUCAACAGGUGUUCUAGCAAAUUUCAUGAAAUCCAUAUGUUGAGGCAUCACAUGUGCGAGUUGAGGAUUUGGGGGAGGUAGGGGAGGUUAAGCAUUCAGGUUCGAUCGAAUGAACUCCGUAUACUAUGCAUUCAUCAUGUGAAGAAAGGCCUCUCUGCCUCAUUCUUCUCUAUUGAUAGUUUCGAGUCUAUUCUCGAAUGAC